UACGUAGGGUGCGAGCGUUGUCCGGAAUUAUUGGGCGUAAAGGGCUCGUAGGCGGUUUGUCACGUCGGGAGUGAAAUCCACUGGCUUAACUGGUGGCUUGCUUUCGAUACGGGCAGACUGGAGGUAUGCAGGGGAGAACGGAAUUCCUGGUGUAGCGGUGAAAUGCGCAGAUAUCAGGAGGAACACCGGUGGCGAAGGCGGCAUCCUGGACCGGCAUUGACGCUGAGGCGCGAAAGCCAGGGGAGCAAACGGG
rnacentral:rRNA from 1 species